GCGCGCGCACCGGAACGCCGCGGCCGGCGCUGGUCCAUCCGGCCCCUCGGCGGCCCGCGGGCCCGGCGGCGAGCGGGCGGGAGUUGGUGUCUGCGCUGCCGGCCGGGGAGCCUCCGCCCCGGACUGGGCUGGCACAGCCGCUAGGCGAAAAUGAAAUUUCAAUGGCGCGGACGCCUCUGUUUUCAGGGCAGAGGGCCGGUUGGUCGUCUUAAAAACCCGGGAACGCGGGGCACCGUUAUUCGGGUGCAAGCCCGCGCCUCCUGGGGGACGGGGAGCUCCUCGAGGCUAGGUGGUUACUGUAUUUUCCCUGUGGUAGUCUCCAUCCCAGCCUCCCGCUGAGCGGAAGCCUCUGUGUUUGUUGAUUGAAGAAGCAGUCUCACAACAGAGAACCUGUAGGUUAAGUAGGUGGUUCAUUGGUGGGUAUUGAAUUGUUUGUGCCCUACUCUUUACGGAUGGUUUUUAUUUAGGUGUUAAAGGUCGCCAGCUUCUGGCAGUAUUAGGUGAAGUAUUGAAAUCGUCCAGAGCCUGUUAUUUAUGGUCUUUUAGUGAACACGUGAUCCAAAUCUUAAUUAAGUCCUUUUCCUCUCUCCCAGCUAUUUGGAACUGGUGAACAGUGUGAUAUAUGUGUGUAACACAACUGCAAAAUUGCUUAAAUAUAUAAAGAAAAUUGCUUCUCUUGGUCUUAGGAAUUUUGAGUUGUAGGUUUUCUUUAGAUAUUUUUCUCUUUUUAAGUCGUGGUUUUGACUUGCUUUGGGAGGUGUGGACCACUUAUUUAUCCUAGAUGCCCUGAAAUGUUUUGGCUAGACUCUCCUUGAUCAUCAUGCUUUGUAGGAUGAAGAUUCUUUGCUAAUUGAUUUUUUUCUUGCAUUUUUCUUGUUAUGAAUAAAUACUGAUCCAAGAUGGAUGGGUUAACAUUUUUUCUUAAACAAUUGUGCUUUGAUCAGGCUGACCCCAACUUCGAGUAUUUUGUCUUGUAUCUGUAUUUGUAUUUGAUAGGAAAUGCUUUAAACACACCUUUUUUUUUCUUUUUUUCUUUUCCCAUGUUCUCAACUCGAGAAGAAGUAAGUGGGGAAAAGAGUUAAAUUGUAAUGUCUUGGUGAAUCACACAGAUCCUGAAGCUGGAAGGGGCCCCAAGAAAUGAUAUGGUCCAGUCCUCUUCUGCCAGGAAGAUCUUACAGGAGAGUGACUGAUGCUGUUUGGCAGUGUGAAUCCUGACAUGUGACUUCUCCGUGUGGCCUGGGCUUCCUCAUAGCAUGCUGGACACAUUCCAGUAGGACGCAAGAGAACAAAGUGGCAUUUUACAUAAGCCACUUCCUCUGCUACUGCUUGAGCCAUCACACAGAGCAUCAGAAAUAGGAUGUCAUAUGGUACAAGAGGCCCUCAGAUGACUUCCAGAUGCGUAAUUCUCUCUGGAUCCCAGAAACAAUGGCCAGUGGCACAGAGCAGAUUGGGGAAAAUUCCACUACCUGGUGCCAAAGUCUUGCUGUGCAUUUUGAAGGCUCAGAGGCUCUAGAAGGCUCACUUAAGUAUGUCUGACGAUGAAAGUGGUUGCAUUGGAAUUGACCUCAAAAAUUGCUAAAAAGA